UGUUUCUUUAUAUAAUAUUUAAAUUAUCUAUAGCCGAAAGGCUGAACCGAUUUAAAAUGUCGUUGUUGCAUUUCUUUUAAAAUAUUAAAGAACCUGUUGAGUCCGAGCACACAUAUGGGUUACGCAAUUAGUGAAAGUUGAAGAAAAUUGAUCCCAUUUGAUACCUAUACAUAUACCAAAUGAGAAUGAUUAGUUUCAAACCGACGUCCAAUCUAUAACAAACCAGUUCGCUGCGGACUAACCGGUAAAAUGAACAGUAAACUAUUUUUAUUUGUUGUUUUGUGUAGUUUAUUUGUUUUGCAUAUUGCUUGUGGUGCUAAAUUGGAAACACAAAAGGAAGUACAACCUACAAAACCGUCACAAUCUGUCUUUGGACCUGCUUUCGAUGAAAUCGUCGUGGAAUCGUCUUUAAAUGUGCGAAGAAAGAACAGACAAAGGCAGACAAAUAGCACAAGUGCAGCUCAAAUAAAAUCAACAUAAAAUGUUUAGUUUAGUUCAGUGUGAUUAGUUUUUUAUGUAAUAAAAUUAUGAUGCAUGUUUUUAUGUAUUAAAAUUAUAAUUUUAUUUUAGUUUUGUU